rnacentral:rRNA from 1 species
UUAGGGGUGUGCUCGCGGCCUAUCAGCUAGUUGGUGAGGUAACGGCUCACCGAGGGCUAAGACGGGUAGCCGGCCUGAGAGGGUGUACGGCCACACUGGAAUUGAGAUACGGUCCAGACUCCUACGGGAGGCAGCAGUGGGGAAUCUUGGGCAAUGGGCGAAAGCCUGACCCAGCGACGCCGCGUUGGGGAUGAAGCCCUUCGGGGCGUAAACCCAUGUUGUAGGGGGCGAAGAAAGUGACGGUACCCUACGAGAAAGCCCCGGCCAACUACGUGCCAGCAGCCGCGGUAAAACGUAGGGGGCGAGCGUUGUCCGGAAUUACUGGGCGUAAAGGGCACGCAGGCGGUACGCCAAGUCGGGGGUGUAAAGUUACGGCUCAACCGUGACCUUGCAAUCGAUACUGGCGUACUGGAGUGCGGGAGAGGGAAGUGGAAUUCCCGGUGUAGCGGUGAAAUGCGUAGAUAUCGGGAGGAACGCCAGUGGCGAAGGCGGCUUCCUGGCCCGCGACUGACGCUCAUGUGCGAAAGCCAGGGGAGCGAACCGGAUUAGAUACCCGGGUAGUCCUGGCCGUAAACGAUGGGUGCUAGGUGUAGGCGCGUCAAGCGUCUGUGCCGCAGUUAACGCGAUAAGCACCUCGCCUGGGGAGUACGGUCGCAAGGCUGAAACUCAAAUGAAUUGACGGAAUCCCGCGGCCA